rnacentral:rRNA from 1 species
GCCCGAUAGAACACUAUACCUGGAAUGGUUUGUGUUCCAAAUGAUUUAUCGCCGUAGGAUGGGACUGCGGCCUAUCAGUUUGUUGGUGAGGUAAUGGCCCACCAAGACUAUUACAGGUACGGGCUCUGAGAGGAGUAGCCCGGAGAUGGGUACUGAGACACGGACCCAGGCCCUAUGGGGCGCAGCAGGCGAGAAAACUUUGCAAUGUGCGAAAGCACGACAAGGUUAAUCCGAGUGAUUUCUGCUAAAGAAAUCUUUUGUUAGUCCUAGAAACACUAACGAAUAAGGGGUGGGCAAGUUCUGGUGUCAGCCGCCGCGGUAAAACCAGCACCUCAAGUGGUCAGGAUGAUUAUUGGGCCUAAAGCAUCCGUAGCCGGCUCUGUAAGUUUUCGGUUAAAUCUAUGCGCUCAACGUAUGGGCUGCCGAAAAUACUGUAGAGAUAGGGAGUGGGAGAGGUAGACGGUACUCGGUAGGAAGGGGUAAAAUCCUUUGAUCUAUCGAUGACCACCUGUGGCGAAGCGGUCUACCAGAACACGUUCGACGGUGAGGGAUGAAAGCUGGGGGAGCAAACCGGAUUAGAUACCCGGGUAGUCCCAGCUGUAAACGAUGCACACUGAUGAUGCAUUGGCAUAUAGACAGUGCAGUGUCGCAGGGAAGCCGUUAAGUCUGCCGCCUGGGAAGUACGUACGCAAGUAUGAAACUUAAAGAAUU